rnacentral:lncRNA from 1 species
AAUGGAAGGGACCUUUCAUUAGCCAAGCAAAGGAACCUGGUGAUGAAUGAAAGACUGGCCAGCAGCAAGCACUGGGGGAGAAGGCAAUGACUCACAGGCUUCUGAGAACAUGGAGAGGGAUGCUAAACUGGGACUGAGGAAAUGGAAGGAUGGAGAAGAGCCAUUUGAUGUGAGAACCCAACCACAAAAAGAGCUGCUAUUCAGUGAACAUACCAAGUGACAUAACUGAAGUGGAAAUGCAAAAUCUGUUCC